rnacentral:misc_RNA from 1 species
GGGUGUGCAGAAGGAAAUCAAAGAGUCCUGAAUGCAUCUGUAUAAUUUUUCGCAUAAUAUCGUUAUUCUCUUUGUCUUUUGAAUGUUAAUAUAGUUAUGGAAUAUUUUGUUAAGUUGGAUGAAAUCUUAGUUGUGUGCUUGAUUUUUCUCUCAGCUGCUUUUUUCUUCAAAGAUAGUGUUUGAUGUUCAAAAUGUUUGUCCAGCAAUCCCGAACUCAUAUCUCAACGAACUAAUUACCAAGUCUUGACAUGUCUUUCCAGAUAAACUUCCUGAAAACUGGAGUG